AAAACAAAUAAAUAAAUGAAGUUGUCCAUUUUCUGUCAACCUGCGACUCCGUGAGGCAACAACGACGACGCGAAGGCAUCAGAAUGGCUCUUUCGGUGGACUGUCGCCGGAGGUAGUCCAAAUUAAGCAUUGUAAAAUAGCAAGCCUUUAGGGUUCCUGGGAGUUCCGAUCCUAAUCGAGCGGUGAUCGCGAGCUCACUCUGAUCGAUAUUGUUGGUGGAAUAAAGAAACUGGCGCUUGUUCUUGUCUCUGCCGCUUUCGCUUUUGACACGAGGAUGCCCAUGUUCUG
rnacentral:misc_RNA from 1 species